UUUGAACAUAACAACAUAUAUAAAAAGUGAAGCAUUGUGAAUACUUUCCAGAUGCACUGUACGUGGGUUUGUUUUUUGUAUUUCCAUCUGUAAUGUUUGCGGUUACUUCAAAUGUCUCUUGAUUUUAAGUCUUUGGGUGUCGUUUUCAGUCAUUUCCUUU